AGAGGCUAGCUAUUACAAACCAGAACAAAUAACUAAAACCCCUCCUCUUUUUGAUGCAGUUGAGAUCAUUCUGGACCUCUCAGCCUUCGAGACCCAUGCCAUUGCAGUGAGGUGAGAACAGCUUGGGAUGAGCCUUCUGAAAACCAUGCUGGAACAGCAUCCCUCAAGCCUGCUGGUCACUGGUGAUGAUCCUGAGCAAGCUGGGUGUUGCAGCACCAGAGCCCUGUGUCCUCAUGACUGUAAACCUGGGGAUCUGCAAGUUGCUGUGCAUACUUACACUGCCAAGGGAAAGUUUGAUGUGAGAGAGGACUCAGAGCACCUCAAGACACGUCUUUUAUCUGUCUAAACCCGUGCACUGAGGUCAGAUUUGUAACACUGUACCUUCAACUCCUUUAGGUUGUGUCAUUCCAGUGGAGCUCAAUGGAACUACUGUGGCAUAAACUGAUGGAAUGAUUAGUGGCAUAAACUGAUGGAAUGAUUAGUUGGAUGGAAAUUAGAGUCAGAAUUAUUUAUUUUUCCUCUUGUGUGAUUUUACCCGUUAAAAUAUUUCUUUCCCUGUAUCAAAAUUUUUUAGUGGGAAGAAAAGUUAUGAAGGACUUUGGUUUGCAAGUAUCCAAAUAUAUUGCUUCAGUCUUGUUGUUCUAAAUAUGAUACUUUAAUAUUGUUGAAUUAAUAAUAUUUUGUUAUGAGCCAGCUAACUGGCUGGGAUGCAAAUUGUCUUAUUCCCAGAUUCUCCUGGGCAAUUUAUAUCCACGAUUUGAUUUUUUUCCUUGAAUAGAAAGUUGAUUUUGUGGAAACUUUAUUUCCCACCAGAGGCUGAACUGUUGGGGGGUGUCCCUAAGCUUUUGUGCUGAAGCAAUGGAAGGCUUCUGAUGCUUUAAGGAGGAAAUCUGCAGCUUUACUUGAAGAAACCUCUCUAAAAAUCCAUGCUUUAUUUUAGUGAAACCUGAAGGGAAAGGUUCUUCUCCAUGUCUUUCUCUCAGCUGUAAAUAUUAACUAUUUAUGUACCUGAUAAUGACCUUUUAUACCACAAGAGGUAUCUGCAGACAUUUGAUUUAUUAAAACUUGCUUUGCUUUGAAUAUUUUCAUUUCAUCUCUUCUAGCUGAUAGGUCAGCUUGCUAUGAGACAAUAUUAUGUUGCAUUAUGGUCAGCUGAGUUACAAUUUGGCCAGUUUUUCUGUAGGUAAAAUUUUAUGGCAUCCUGACACACAUCACUGCAAAUUCCAUUAUAUAAAGCUCCAUAUUCCAUGCAUUAAUGUCUGAAUCUCUUCCACUCUCUUUUUCCUCAGUUUAAGCUUCCGAGUGGUAGUGAGCUUUUCCACUUAAUUUGCUUCAGUUUACUGCUUAAAGUGCUUUUAAGUGCACUUAAAAAGUGCACUUGCUGCCCACAAUUAGCACUGGUCAUCAUCCAAAGCCUGUCUCCCAUCAGCUGUUACCCAGUGAAAUUGCAUCUUCUUAAUGGGAUGACCAAAACCAAUACACCAUAUUGCAAAGUGGCUUUGUGGGAACUUUCUGCCAAGACAGCAUCAUCUCAGGGGAGCCUUACAGCUUAAAAGCCUUGUAUCAGGUGAUAGACAUUGCAGAGGAUGGUGGGGGCACUUCGUCCUUUCUUUCUUUUUAUCCCCUCUUCAAAAAACUUCCAUCACUCUGAUGACCAGUAAAAAGGAAAGGGAAAACAAAAGGAAGACAAAAGUAAUUUCAGGUUUUUUUGUGUUCCAGUCUAUGAUUUGGCCAUAUUUCUCUGGGCUACUUUUUUUCUCUUAUUUCUCUAGUAGCAUGUAAACAGAAGCUCAAGAGUAAAAUGAAUCCAUAAGGACUUUCCUACAUUUAUGUUUGUACAUUGAUGGAUGGAGAAGCAUUUAAGAGAAAAAGAAUCAAUUUUGAAUCCAAAGAUGUGGGUCAUCUCUUCUGGAUUUGCAUCAUUGUGUGGUGUCAGGGAUUAACUCAAACAUAUUUGUACUUUCUAGAGGUUCAUAGGUUCACCAGUGUAUGGCAGACAGUACCACAGAGCUGUGAAAUAGGUGAGCUCCACAAGAGUGAUGAUUAAAGUAUUUUUACUUUCCAUACAUUUGGCAGAAUCAAACAGCUGCAGCCCUGAAGUUUUACAUUUAUAAAAAUCUAUGCAUAAAUAAAUAUAACUGCUACUUGUUACA
ensembl:lncRNA